GGAAACUGUAUUGUUAGUGAAAAAGUCAUAGAUUGAUCAGAUUAAAAAUCAUAGACUCACAGAAUGGUUUGGAUUGGAGGGGACCUCAAAGACCACCCAGUCCCACCCCCCCUGCCAUUGGCAGGGACACCUUCCACUAGACCAUGUUGCCCAAAGCCCCAUCGAGCCUGGCCUUGAACACCUCCAGGGAUGGGGCAUCCACAGCUUCUCUGGGCAACCUGUGCCAGU